rnacentral:rRNA from 1 species
UACAGAGGUCUCAAGCGUUGUUCGGAUUCAUUGGGCGUAAAGGGUGCGUAGGCGGCGCGGUAAGUCGGGUGUGAAAUCUCGGAGCUUAACUCCGAAACUGCAUUCGAUACUGCCGUGCUUGAGGACUGGAGAGGAGACUGGAAUUUACGGUGUAGCGGUGAAAUGCGUAGAUAUCGUAAGGAAGACCAGUGCGAAGGCGGGUCUCUGGACAGUUCCUGACGCUGAGGCACGAAGGCCAGGGGAGCAAACGGG